AGCUGCGGCUUCUGAGGAGUAAGCGGCGCGGUAGCGAAGGCCGCCGAACCUGCCUGGCUAGCCGGCGACUUGAGUGACGACAUCACCAUCCUGUGGUCACCUGAUCUCAGCGUCUAGGUCAACUUUGAUUCCUUUCUUCUUGCCCUGAUGGCCAGUGACAUACACAGAUCCCAUCGACUCUAACUCUGCAGUCAGUGUCUUGUAUUCUUCUCCUCCCCCUAGGCCAUGUUUCCUGACUCUGGUUCUAUGGCCAUGGUGAAUAACAGCUCCAGUCUUUGACAGAGGAAGAAGUUUUUGGAGCCACUCGUUCAACAACUGUGCUAGGCAUUGGAAAUACAACUAUAAGUAAGAAAAGAGGCCAGGCACAGUGACUUACGACUGUAAUCUCACCACUUUGCCUCUGGAACAGGACCCAAGGACAUUAUCAUUAUACAGCUAUCUGUUCUUUUGAAACAGAUGGUCACCAUGUUUAGAUAUUAGCAGUCCCAUAUAUGCAUGUCUGCAUUUGAAAAUGGAAGAGGGAAACAACAAUGAAGAGGUAAUUCACUUGAACAACUUUCACUGCCAUCG
rnacentral:lncRNA from 10 species